rnacentral:tRNA from 1 species
GGUGGCUCAGCGGUAGAGCACUUGUCUUGCAUGCAUGAGGCCCUGGGUUCAAUUCCUCAGCACCA